UCAACCGAGAUUCCCCCAGUAGCGGCGAGCGAACGGGGAGCAGCCCAGAGCCUGAAUCAGUGUGUGUGUUAGUGGAAGCGUCUGGAAAGGCGCGCGAUACAGGGUGACAGCCCCGUACACAAAAAUGCACAUGCUGUGAGCUCGAUGAGUAGGGCGGGACACGUGGUAUCCUGUCUGAAUAUGGGGGGACCAUCCUCCAAGGCUAAAUACUCCUGACUGACCGAUAGUGAACCAGUACCGUGAGGGAAAGGCGAAAAGAACCCCGGCGAGGGGAGUGAAAAAGAACCUGAAACCGUGUACGUACAAGCAGUGGGAGCACGCUUAGGCGUGUGACUGCGUACCUUUUGUAUAAUGGGUCAGCGACUUAUAUUCUGUAGCAAGGUUAACCGAAUAGGGGAGCCGAAGGGAAACCGAGUCUUAACUGGGCGUUAAGUUGCAGGGUAUAGACCCGAAACCCGGUGAUCUAGCCAUGGGCAGGUUGAAGGUUGGGUAACACUAACUGGAGGACCGAACCGACUAAUGUUGAAAAAUUAGCGGAUGACUUGUGGCUGGGGGUGAAAGGCCAAUCAAACCGGGAGAUAGCUGGUUCUCCCCGAAAGCUAUUUAGGUAGCGCCUCGUGAAUUCAUCUCCGGGGGUAGAGCACUGUUUCGGCAAGGGG
rnacentral:rRNA from 1 species